rnacentral:rRNA from 1 species
UACGGAGGAUCCAAGCGUUAUCCGGAGUGACUGGGCGUAAAGAGUUGCGUAGGUGGUUAUAUAAGUGAAUAGUGAAACCUGGUGGCUCAACCAUACAGACUAUUAUUCAAACUGUAUAACUCGAGAAUGGUAGAGGUAGCUGGAAUUUCUAGUGUAGGAGUGAAAUCCGUAGAUAUUAGAAGGAACACCAAUGGCGUAGGCAGGCUACUGGACCAUUUCUGACACUAAGGCACGAAAGCGUGGGGAGCGAACCGG